AAAACACUAGUAAAACUCUAUUACACUACCUUGUCGAGAUAUAAUUGUAGGUUAAAACCCUGCGUGUUUUA
rnacentral:tRNA from 1 species